ACAAUAAAUAGAAACACAGUUAGAUGUAUUAGAAAUAGAAUUUAUUAGGAUUCAAUAUAAUAAAUUAUAUUCCUGAAACAUUUAAGGGCGUGUGAAAUUAAUUCCUGUUUUUGACCAUUUCUACAGAUUGGCUCGUAAAUGAGAGAGAGCAUUGAAGUAGAUUUUGACCCUAUUGAAAAACAAAUGGUGCAUUAUGGAAUAUUGUUCUUGCUGGAUUUCGUUUAAAGCUACAUACUACUAAAGGAACAUAAAAAUUCCAUACACAAUAUGUUAUGAAACAUUGGUUGUAUCAGUGCUCUUUGACUCUGGAAAGUAGUAAUACCUGAAGUCUUGAGGAAGGCGUGAAGGUGCCUUUUUUUCCGUUGGGAACGAAGGCAGUGUGCGAUAGCAGAAGGAAGGAUUUAUGACAUUGAACAGAUUAGCCAACAACUGAGAGAGAUUGGAACUGAUAUCCUUUGCUUAUUGAAAAGAUAAGUUGUCUUCUUUGGUGUUUUAGCUGUUAACUUUUCAUCUUGGAGGCUCUUGUAGUUAAUUAAGGAACAUUAGAAGAACUCCGUAUACCAUUAAAUUAUGAAGUUAUGGAGCAUUGGUUGUAUUAGUCCUCAUUUGCCCCGGAAAGUAGCUGUUCCCAUGGUUCUAAUAAAAGCAUGAAAGUGCCUUUUUUCCAUUGGGAACGAAGCUGUUAAAUUUUCAUCCUGGAUGCUCUUGUAGUUAAUUAAGGUGAGCAUACAUGCUGUAUUGUAUAUAUGUAGCGUAUUUUUUUUUGAUAUUAAAAGACAAAAGGGUACGGCGUUACUUUUAACAAUUUAUUUAUGCACUCUACUUAGUAUGGGGUCUAAAUUUAUUAUAUUUGAA